GACGAACGCUGGCGGCGUGCCUAAUACAUGCAAGUAGAACGCUGAAGGAGGAGCUUGCUCUUCUGGAUGAGUUGCGAACGGGUGAGUAACGCGUAGGUAACCUGCCUGGUAGCGGGGGAUAACUAUUGGAAACGAUAGCUAAUACCGCAUAACAGUAGAUGCUGCAUGACAUUUGCUUAAAAGGUGCAAUUGCAUCACUACCAGAUGGACCUGCGUUGUAUUAGCUAGUUGGUGGGGUAACGGCUCACCAAGGCGACGAUACAUAGCCGACCUGAGAGGGUGAUCGGCCACACUGGGACUGAGACACGGCCCAGACUCCUACGGGAGGCAGCAGGAGGGAAUCGUCGGCAAUGGACGGAAGUCUGACCGAGCAACGCCGCGGGAGUGAAGAAGGUUUUCGGAUCGGAAAGCUCGGUUGUAAGAGAAGAACGAGUGUGAGAGUGGAAAGUUCACACUGUGACGGUAGCUUACCAGAAAGGGACGGCUAACUACGUG
rnacentral:rRNA from 1 species